GAUGAAGAACGCAGCGAAAUGCGAUAAGUAAUGCGAAUUGCAGAAUUCAGUGAAACAUCGAAUCUUUGAACGCACAUUGCGCCCGCCAGUAUUCUGGCGGGCAUGCCUGUUCGAGCGUCAUUUCAACCAUCAAGCCCCCGGCUUGUGUUGGGGACCUGCGGCUGCCGCAGGCCCUGAAAACCAGUGGCGGGCUCGCUAGUCACUCCGAGCGUAGUAAUACAUCUCGCUCAGGGCGUGCUGCGGGUUCCGGCCGUUAAAAAGCCUUAUUUACCCAAGGUUGACCUCGGAUCAGGUAGGAAGACCCGCUGAACUUAAGCAUAUCAAUAAGCGGAGGA
rnacentral:misc_RNA from 1 species